UACGUAGGCAGCAAGCGUUGUUCGGAGUUACUGGGCGUAAAGAGUGCGUAGGCGGUCCUGUAAGUUUGGUGUGAAAUCUCCCGGCUCAACUGGGAGGCGCGCCGAAGACUGCAGGGCUUGAGUAUGGGAGAGGUAAGCGGAAUUCCUGGUGUAGCGGUGAAAUGCGUAGAUAUCAGGAGGAACACCUGUGGUGUAGACAGCUUACUGGACCAUCACUGACGCUGAGGCACGAAAGCGUGGGUAGCAAACAGG
rnacentral:rRNA from 1 species